rfam:Triticum aestivum genome assembly, contig: Triticum_aestivum_CS42_TGACv1_scaffold_376444_5AL
UAUAUACUCCUUCCGUCCGGAAAUACUUGUCAUCAAAAUGGACAAAAAGGGAUGGAUCUAGAACUAAAAUACAUCUAGAUACAUCCGUUUUUAUUCAUUUUGAUGACAAGUAUUUUUAGACGGAGGGAGUACUAU